rnacentral:rRNA from 1 species
AGGACUAACGCUGGCGGCGUGCCUAACACAUGCAAGUCGAACGAGGUAGCAAUACCUAGUGGCAGACGGGUGAGUAACGCGUGGUCAACCUACCUCUUAGUGGGGGAUAACUAGCCGAAAGGUUAGCUAAUACCGCAUACGAUCGUCGCGAGGCAUCUCGUGACGAUGAAAGGAGCAAUUCGCUAAGAGAGGGGACUGCGUCCCAUUAGUUAGUUGGUGGGGUAAUGGCCCACCAAGACUCCGAUGGGUAGCUGGCUUGAGAGAGCGACCAGCCACACUGGAACUGAGACACGGUCCAGACUCCUACGGGAGGCAGCAGUGAGGAAUUUUCCGCAAUGGGCGCAAGCCUGACGGAGCGACGCCGCGUGUGGGAAGAAGGCCUUCGGGUCGUAACCACUGUCGAAGGGGACGAUAUUGACGGUACCCUUGGAGGAGCCCGGCUAACUACGCGCCAGCAGCCGC